ensembl:lncRNA
CCCAGAGCGGGUUGGAGCCUCCCUCACUGGGGAUGGUCCGGACCCGCCCGGACACAGCGCUGCGCCCUGUGGUGGCCCCGAGCAGGGAGGCCGGGCACAUGAGGCACUGCGCUCCUUACACCCGGCCCGGUUCUGUGAGGGGAGAGCUGGGACGGGAGCUCCCGGCGCCGCCCUCAGCCGCGGCCCCGCGGCGCGCGCCCGCCGGAACCGAUCGCGCGCCCUUCCGCCGCGGGGUCACGUGACGUCCCGUCGGUCCCGCAAGAUGGCGGCGCCCAUGUUGGUGCCCGAGCCCCCCCUGGGGAAGCCGAGCCAUCAAAAGUACAGAGCUAUUCUGAAGAAGGAGAAGAGGAAAAAAAAGCGGCAGGCACUUGCCAAACUAAGAGACUCAGAAGCUGCAGAAAAAGAUGAAUCUGUGUCUGAGGAAGAAGAGGAGGAAAUGGAAGAAGAGGAGGAAGAAGAAGAAGAAAAAAAACUUGAGGCAGAAAGACAAAAACUACAUGAGCAGUGGUUGCUGAGAGAAGAAAAGGCCCAAGAAGAGUUCAAGCUAAAGAAAGAAAAAGAAGAGGCUGCAAGAAAGCGUCAAGAGGAAGAAGAGGUAUAAAGAUAUAAAACCUUACAGUAGUGCUAGACAACAAGAUAGACUUAGUGUAAUAACUGUGAUGGACCCUUUUUCUUGAUGCUGGUGUGUUUGAAAGCAUAGACUCUCCACUCUUUGUAUAGAAAAGCACAAUUGAAAAGAGAAGAAAACAACAGCUCUUAAAAUGGUAUUUGUCAGAUUUAGUUGCUUCUGACUGGAUGAAAACUUAAUGGUCGAGCAGUUGUAGUGAAACAUGGUAAUUUUGAUUGAUUGUAAAGUGUUGUUCUUUAUUUUUUUUAAUUAUAAAGAGGAAGAUCAAAGAAGAAUGGGAAGAGCAACAAAGAAAAGAGAGAGAAGUGGCACAGCAGAAGCAACAGGAGAAGAGAGAGAGAGAGGUGAUUUGUGGUGGUGGGAGGAUAUACAUGUUAUAUGUCCUGUGACAUGAUCAAUGCAACAGUUAUGCAUGCUGAAAAGCGAUUUUGUUGUAAUUAGCAAAUGCAUUAGUUAGCCCAUUCUGUCUAAGUUCCUAAACCAUUAUUCAGUGUUAAAGAGCAUUCAGGGGGUCCAUGUACUGAAGUAUAACUCUUGUUAACCCAUCUGGUUCUUCACAGUAUGUAAUUGUUUAUGUCAGGUGAAUACAAAGGUACUGUGCCAAUGCAGGUUGUGGUAAGUGCACUUUAUGCAUCAUGUGUUAAAGAUAAUCCUUCCUUAAUGUCCUAGUUGAACACAGUCAGUGCUGAAGAAAAUGCCCAAAGAGGAUUUGGAAUAUGGAAGUACAUUGCUGCUGUUCCUUAACGCAGUUCUUAAUCAAAAGAUGUGUUGCAGCUCUUCUUUACCUGACUCAUCCAACAGGACGUAUCUUUUUUCAGAGCUCCUUGGGUGGAAUAAAAAAUUAUAUUGAAGAUACA